UACGUAGGGUGCGAGCGUUAAUCGGAAUUACUGGGCGUAAAGCGUGCGCAGGCAGUUUUGUAAGACAGAUGUGAAAUCCCCGGGCUUAACCUGGGAACUGCAUUUGUGACUGCAUGGCUGGAGUGCGGCAGAGGGGGAUGGAAUUCCGCGUGUAGCAGUGAAAUGCGUAGAUAUGCGGAGGAACACCGAUGGCGAAGGCAAUCCCCUGGGCCUGCACUGACGCUCAUGCACGAAAGCGUGGGGAGCAAACAGG
rnacentral:rRNA from 1 species